GAUGAACGCUGGCGGCGUUCCUAAUACAUGCAAGUCUAGCUAACAGACGAGGAGCUUGCUCCUCUGACGUUACCGUCUUACGGUUGAGUAACACGUGGAUAACCUAUCUAUAAGACUUGGAUAACUUCUGGAACCCUGCGCUAAUACCGGAUAAUAUAUUUAACCGCAUUUUUCAAUAGUGAACGACGCUUUUGCUGUCACUUAUAUAUGUAUCAGCGCCGCAUUAGCUAGUUGGUAACGUAACGGCUUACCAAGGCAACGAUGCGUAGCCGACCUGAUAGGGUGAUCGGCGACACUGGAAGUGAGACAAGGUCCAGACUCAUACGGGAAGCAGCAGUAGGGAAUCUUCCGCAAUGGGCGAAAGCGUGACGGAGCAACGCCGCGUGAGUGAUGAAGGUCAUCGGAUCGUAAAACUAUGUUAUUAAGGAAGAACAAAUGUGUAAGUAACUAUGCACGUAUUGACGGUACCUAAUCAGAAAGACACGGCUAACAACGUG
rnacentral:rRNA from 1 species